rnacentral:rRNA from 1 species
GGUGAACGCUGGCGGCGUGCCUAAUACAUGCAAGUCGAGCGAACGGACGAGAAGCUUGCUUCUCUGAUGUUAGCGGCGGACGGGUGAGUAACACGUGGAUAACCUACCUAUAAGACUGGGAUAAAUUCGGGAAACCGGAGCUAAUACCGGAUGAUAUUUUGAACCGCAUGGUUCAAAAGUGAAAGACGGUCUUGCUGUCACUUAUAGAUGGAUCCGCGCUGCAUUAGCUAGUUGGUAAGGUAACGGCUUACCAAGGCAACGAUGCAUAGCCGACCUGAGAGGGUAAUCGGCCACACUGGAACUGAAACACGGUCAAGACUCCUCCGGAAGGCAGCAGUAGGGAAUCUUCCGCAAUGGGCGAAAGCCUGACGGAGCAACGCCGCGUGAGUGAUGAAGGUCUUCGGAUCGUAAAACUCUGUUAUUAGGGAAGAACAUAUGUGUAAGUAACUGUGCACAUCUUGACGGUACCUAAUCAGAAAGCCACGGCUAACUACGUG